CCAAUAGCGUAUAUUAAAGUUGUUGCAGUUAAAAAGCUCGUAGUUGAAUUUCGGGAUCAAUGUGCCGGUCGUGCCUCGGUAUGCACUGGUACUUUUGAUUUCUCCCUUCUGAAGAACUUUGAUGUCAUUAAUUUGGUGUCUUAGGGAAUCAGGACUGUUACUUUGAAAAAAUUAGAGUGUUUAAAGCAAGCUCACGCUUGAAUACAUUAGCAUGGAAUAA
rnacentral:rRNA from 1 species